rnacentral:rRNA from 1 species
UAGUCCACGCCGUAAACGAUGGAUACUAGGUGUAGCGGGUAUCGACCCCUGCUGUGCCGUAGUUAACGCGUUAAGUAUCCCGCCUGGGGAGUACGCACGCAAGUGUGAAACUCAAAGGAAUUGACGGGGGCCCGCACAAGCGGUGGAGGAUGUGGUUUAAUUCGACGCAACGCGAAGAACCUUACCAGGGCUUGACAUCUAGAGAAUCUCUCCGAAAGGAGAGAGUGCCUCCGGGAGCUCUAAGACAGGUGGUGCAUGGCUGUCGUCAGCUCGUGUCGUGAGAUGUUGGGUUAAGUCCCGCAACGAGCGCAACCCUCGGGUUUAGUUGCCAACACGUAACGGUGGGAACUCUAAGCAGACUGCCUGCGCAAGCAGUGAGGAAGGAGGGGAUGAGGUUAGGUCAUCAUGGCCUUUAUGCCCAGGGCUACAAACGUGCUACAAUGGCGUAUACAGAGAGAAGCUACCUGGCAACAGGAUGCCAAUCUUCAAAGUACGUCUCAGUUCGG